GGAAUUUUCCGCAAUGGGCGAAAGCCUGACGGAGCAACGCCGCGUGGGCGAUGAAGUUCUUCGGAAUGUAAAGCCCUUUCAGCAGGGACGAAGCGAGUGACGGUACCUGCAGAAGAAGCAUCGGCUACCUACGUGCCAGCAGCCGCGGUAAUACGUAGGGGGCGAGCGUUGUCCGGAUUUAUUGGGCGUAAAGGGCGUGUAGGCGGUCUGGUAAGUCGGGGGUGAAAACCCAGAGCUCAACUCUGGGACUGCCUCCGAUACUGCUGGACUUGAGUGCUCUAGAGGGUAGUGGAAUUGCCGGUGUAGCAGUGAAAUGCGUAGAGAUCGGCAGGAACACCAGUGGCGAAGGCGACUGCCUGGGGAGUAACUGACGCUGAGGCGCGAAAGCUGGGGGAGC
rnacentral:rRNA from 1 species